rnacentral:rRNA from 1 species
GAUGAACGCUGGCGGCAUGCCUAAUACAUGCAAGUCGAACGAGAGGAAGGAAAGCUUGCUUUUCUGAAUCUAGUGGCGAACGGGUGAGUAACACGUAGGUAACCUGCCCAUGUGCCCGGGAUAACUUCUGGAAACGGAUGCUAAAACCGGAUAGGUAGCAGACAAGCAUUUGACUGCUAUUAAAGUGGCCUUGGCCAUGAACAUGGAUGGACCUGCGGUGCAUUAGCUGGUUGGUGAGGUAACGGCCCACCAAGGCGACGAUGCAUAGCCGGCCUGAGAGGGCGGACGGCCACAUUGGGACUGAGACACGGCCCAAACUCCUACGGGAGGCAGCAGUAGGGAAUUUUCGUCAAUGGGGGGAACCCUGAACGAGCAAUGCCGCGUGAGUGAGGAAGGUCUUCGGAUCGUAAAGCUCUGUUGUAAGAGAAAAACGGCACUCAUAGGGAAUGAUGAGUGAGUGAUGGUAUCU